CCUUCACAGUGUUUUGGCAGUUUCGACGGCUGUAUUCUACCAGUAUUUCCGCGACUCGCAUAUGCUCUAAAUGGCGACGGCUCUGUCAUGCUAUGUGGCGCUUACUUCUCCACUUCGCCCGUCCAGUUCCGACCGAUUAUUGACUUCUUAUGUUAGACCUCACACUCCGGUCUCUUCUCCUACCCUGACACGGUGGAUUUAAUAGUUAUUGUCCUUGGUGGGUGCGAAUUUGACCUUUGG